rnacentral:rRNA from 1 species
CCCAGACUCCUACGGGAGGCAGCAGUGGGGGAUAUUGCACAAUGGGGGGAACCCUGAUGCAGCGACGCCGCGUGGGUGAAGGAGCGUUUCGGCGCGUAAAGCCCUAUCGGCAGGGAAGAAGGAGGACGGUACCUGACUAAGAAGCCCCGGCUAACUACGUGCCAGCAGCCGCGGUAAUACGUAGGGGGCAAGCGUUAUCCGGAUUUACUGGGUGUAAAGGGGGCGCAGACGGCAGCGCAAGCCAGGAGUGAAAGCCCGGGGCCCAACCCCGGGACUGCUCUUGGAACUGCGCGGCUGGAGUGCAGGAGGGGCAGGCGGAAUUCCUGGUGUAGCGGUGAAAUGCGUAGAUAUCAGGAGGAACACCGGUGGCGAAGGCGGCCUGCUGGACUGCGACUGACGUUGAGGCCCGAAAGCGUGGGGAGCAAACAGGAUUAGAUACCCCCGUAGCG